rnacentral:rRNA from 1 species
UACGGAGGUGGCGAGCGUUGUCCGAAGUUACUGGGCGUAAAGCGCGCGUAGGCGGGCUCUUAAGUGAGAAGGUGAAAGGCUGGGGCUCAACUCCAUGCAGUGCUUCUCAUACUGGGGGUCUUGAGGGCGGUAGAGAGAAGUGGAAUGGCUGGUGUAGCGGUGAAAUGCGUCGAUAUCAGGAGGAACACCAGUGGCGAAGGCGGAUCUC